UUAAGUUCAGCGGGUAGUCCUACCUGAUUUGAGGUCAAAUUGUCAAUGUAGGCUGUCUCUGAAAGAGACGGUUAUAAGCAGGUUCCCACAAGUCUUGUUUCAGAGUCAGGCGGCGUAGAUAAUUAUCACACCAAGUGACCAUCCACAAAGGAUCCCACUAAUGAAUUUAAAGGGAGCAGACCAUCCAACUGAAUGGAAGC
rnacentral:misc_RNA from 1 species